rnacentral:lncRNA from 1 species
UCCAUGCUCACACCAAAGCUUCCGAGUUUGUUCCUGGGAUCUCCAUCUCAAAUCGUUUGCUUGAUUUGUAUUCCAAAUGUGGCAGCCUCGGUGAUGCCCAGAAGCUGUUUGAUGAAAUGAUUCACAGGGAUUUGUGCUCUUGGAACACCAUGAUUGCUGGGUAUGCCAAAAUNGCUGUUUGAUGAAAUGAUUCACAGGGAUUUGUGCUCUUGGAACACCAUGAUUGCUGGGUAUGCCAAAAUUGGACGCCUUCAUCAAGCUAGAAAACUGUUUGAUGAAAUGCCCCAAAGAGAUAACUUCUCCUGGAAUG